rnacentral:rRNA from 1 species
CAGUCGCCACGGGAAUACGGAGGGCGCGAGCGUUACCCGGAUUUACUGGGCGUAAAGGGCGUGUAGGCGGCCUGGGGCGUCCCAUGUGAAAGGCCACGGCUCAACCGUGGAGGAGCGUGGGAUACGCUCAGGCUAGAGGAUGGGAGAGGGUGGUGGAAUUCCCGAAGUAGCGGUGAAAUGCGCAGAUACCGGGAGGAACGCCGAUGGCGAAGGCAGCCACCUGGUCCACUUCUGACGCUGAGGCGCGAAAGCGUGGGGAGCAAACCGGAUUAGAUACCCCCGUAGUCCCUGUCUCUUAUAC